rnacentral:sRNA from 1 species
GCUGGGUGUGGUGGUGCACACCUGUAAUCUCAGUGGCUAGGGAGGCCGAGGCAGGAGGAAAGUAAGUUCAAAGCCAGCCUUGGCAACUUAGCAAGGCCCUAAGCAACUUAGUGAGACUCUGUCUCUA